ACCUUAGAGACCAACCAAGUUUGUUAUUGGUAUGAGCUUUUGUGUGCAUGCACACUUCUUCAGAUACCUUCUUCAGAUGCAUGCACACAAAAGCUCAUACCAAUAACAAACUUAGUUGGUCUCUAAGGU